rnacentral:lncRNA from 1 species
CCCUGACCCAUUGCCUUGACCGCUCCACAGUUAUUGCAGGGCUAGAGCUUUCUGUAUUCUGGGUGCUCCUAAAUUCUAUUUAGGCUCCAACAGAAAAGUUGUCCCGAUUUUUCAAAGAUGCUGAACCCCUGCAGUUCCUGCUCUUGGCAUGAAUUUUGAGUGCUGAAAACUUUGGAAAAACUGGACGCAUUUAAGGCUCGUACAGUUACAUUAAGUGUUUCAAAGGCUGAUGCUUCUGGACACAUCCAAUAGAUGUGGUUUGCUUCUCCCUCGCAGCAGCUGGGAUUAAGGAGCUGUGGAACCACCCCAAAUUUUGUGGAGGAGCUGUGUGGAGAAUGGGCACAUGUUUAGGCUGUACUAGAGCCUGCACGGCAACCUUCAGUGAUGCAGAAGUGUGGACUGGCACCAGGAGUGGGGAGACUGGCUGCUUCGCUUGCAUCCCGCUGCGAUUUCUGGCACGCAGAGACUGAGCAGGGUCUGAUGGGCCAAACGUAAGUCCUCCGAGGUUGCUGCCUCUUCCUCGUGUUCCGACAUUCAUUCUGUCUGUCACAUGCCUCUUGAUACGCGGCUUUCUAAUUUUUAACACGCUCUCAACACCAGUGAAGCAACU